AAAGUUAAAUUAAAACUUGUUUGAAAUACAAUUUAGACAUUUAAAUAAGAAAAAGAAUUUGAAAACGAUUAUGAGUGAGUAGGUGUUAGUGAAAAUUUAGUUAAACUAGAGUAAAAUAGUACCGUAAGGGAAGGUGUGUAUAAACGUCUAUAGUAAGUAUAAAGAUCUGUACCUUGUGUAUUAGGGAAAGUCUACAUAAAUCAACUUUUAUGAUAAUCCCGAAAUAAAAACAGCUAAUUCUAUAAAAUAGUCACUAUGAAAUUAGUGUUGUUAAUCUAGAGUUAAAGAUGAAACGUCAUUCGAGUUUUAUUAUAUCUGGUUUUCCUAAAAAGAAAUUUAAUUUCACCAUUUUUAGUAUAAAUCAAAGUAAUGGGUAAACACAGGAGGGAAUAGCUUCUUGUGAAAAAAUAAUAUAGUCUCAAAUCAAAAACGGUCUGAAUUAGGCUUAAAAGUAGCCACAUUAGUAAAGUGUUUUAACUAGGUUUGCGGUAUUAAAUUAUUUGUUCUGGCUUUUAUUAUUAUUGGAAAUUUAAUUUUAGCUAUGAAAAUGAAGAUAUAAUGAUUUUAUUAGUAAAACAUUUUGUGAGCGUAAAAAAUAGAAUAACUUGGUAUUUAUAUGGGACAAAGAUUUAUUUUAAAGGAACUCGGCAAUUGAUUAUUUUCUGCCUGUUUAACAAAAACAUGUCUACUUGUAUAUUUAAGUAGUCUGACCUGCUCGCUGAUUAUAUUGAAGAGCCGCGGUAUCAUGACCGUGCAAAGGUAGCAUAAUCGUUAGUUUCUUAAUUAGGAUCUUGUAUGAAUGGUUGGACAAGAGAAUAGCUGUCUUUAAAAUAUAAAUUGAAUUUAACUUUUGAGUGAAAAGGCUCAAAUGAAUUAAAGGGACGAUAAGACCCUAUAAAGCUUAAUCUUAGAUAAAUAAUAAUUUAAAUUUUAAUAAUAUAAAAAUUUACUGUGAAUCUUUGAUUAUAUUGGGGCGAUAGAAGUAAAAAAUUAGUAACUGCUUAUAACUUUCAGACAAAUAUAAGUGAAUUUAAAUAAAAGAUCCAUUAUAAUGAUUACAAGAAUAAGUUACUUUAGGGAUAACAGCGUCAUUUUUUUUAAGAGUUCUUAUCGAAAAAAAAGUUUGCGACCUCGAUGUUGAAUUAAAAUUUCUU
rnacentral:rRNA from 1 species